AUUGAACGCUGGCGGCAGGCUUAACACAUGCAAGUCGAGCGGGGGAAGGUAGCUUGCUACCGGACCUAGCGGCGGACGGGUGAGUAAUGCUUAGGAAUCUGCCUAUUAGUGGGGGACAACAUCUCGAAAGGGAUGCUAAUACCGCAUACGUCCUACGGGAGAAAGCAGGGGAUCUUCGGACCUUGCGCUAAUAGAUGAGCCUAAGUCAGAUUAGCUAGUUGGUGGGGUAAAGGCCUACCAAGGCGACGAUCUGUAGCGGGUCUGAGAGGAUGGUCCGCCACACUGGGACUGAGACACGGCCCAGACUCCUACGGGAGGCAGCAGUGGGGAAUAUUGGACAAUGGGGGGAACCCUGAUCCAGCCAUGCCGCGUGUGUGAAGAAGGCCUUAUGGUUGUAAAGCACUUUAAGCGAGGAAGAGGCUACUUUAGUUAAUACCUAGAGAUAGUGGACGUUACUCGCAGAAUAAGCACCGGCUAACUCUGUGCCAGCCGCCCGCAGUAA
rnacentral:rRNA from 1 species